rnacentral:rRNA from 1 species
UACGUAGGGUGCAAGCGUUGUCCGGAAUUAUUGGGCGUAAAGAGCUCGUAGGCGGUUUGUCGCGUCGAAUGUGAAAUCCCGGGGCUCAACCCCGGGUCUGCAUUCGAUACGGGCAGACUAGAGUUCGGUAGGGGAGUCUGGAAUUCCUGGUGUAGCGGUGAAAUGCGCAGAUAUCAGGAGGAACACCGGUGGCGAAGGCGGCAUCCUGGACCAACACUGACACUGAGGAGCGAAAGCCAGGGGAGCAAACGGG